rnacentral:rRNA from 1 species
UAUUGCACAAUGGGGGAAACCCUGAUGCAGCGAUGCCGCGUGAGUGAAGAAGUAUUUCGGUAUGUAAAGCUCUAUCAGCAGGGAAGAAAAAAGACGGUACCUGACUAAGAAGCCCCGGCUAACUACGUGCCAGCAGCCGCGGUAAUACGUAGGGGGCAAGCGUUAUCCGGAUUUACUGGGUGUAAAGGGAGCGUAGACGGCAAUACAAGUCGGAAGUGAAAUACCCGGGCUCAACCUGGGAACUGCUUUGGAAACUGUAUGGCUGGAGUGCUGGAGAGGUAAGCGGAAUUCCUAGUGUAGCGGUGAAAUGCGUAGAUAUUAGGAGGAACACCAGUGGCGAAGGCGGCCUGCUGGACAUUAACUGACGCUGAGGCGCGAAAGCGUGGGUAGCAAACAGG